GAUGAACGCUGGCGGCGUGCCUAAUACAUGCAAGUCGAGCGAAUGGAUUAAGAGCUUGCUCUUAUGAAGUUAGCGGCGGACGGGUGAGUAACACGUGGGUAACCUGCCCAUAAGACUGGGAUAACUCCGGGAAACCGGGGCUAAUACCGGAUAACAUUUUGAACCGCAUGGUUCGAAAUUGAAAGGCGGCUUCGGCUGUCACUUAUGGAUGGACCCGCGUCGCAUUAGCUAGUUGGUGAGGUAACGGCUCACCAAGGCAACGAUGCGUAGCCGACCUGAGAGGGUGACCGGCCACACUGGGACUGAGACACGGCCCAGACUCCGACGGGAGGCAGCAGUAGGGAAUCUUCGGCAAUGGACGAAAGUCUGACGGAGCAACGCCGCGUGAGUGAUGAAGGCUUUCGGGUCGUAAAACUCUGUUGUUAGGGAAGAACAAGUGCUAGUUGAAUAAGCUGGCACCUUGACGGUACCUAACCAGAAAGCCACGGCUAACUACGUGCCAGCCGCCGCGGUAA
rnacentral:rRNA from 1 species